rnacentral:rRNA from 1 species
UACGUAGGGUGCGAGCGUUGUCCGGAAUUAUUGAGCGUAAAGGGCUCGUAGGCGGUUUGUCGCGUCGGGAGUGAAAACCUCGGGCUUAACUCGGGGCUUGCUUUCGAUACGGGCAGACUGGAGGUAUGCAGGGGAGAACGGAAUUCCUGGUGUAGCGGUGAAAUGCGCAGAUAUCAGGAGGAACACCGGUGGCGAAGGCGGUUCUCUGGGCCGAUACUGACGCUGAGGAGCGAAAGCGUGGGGAGCAAACAGG